rnacentral:rRNA from 1 species
UACGUAGGGUGCAAGCGUUAAUCGGAAUUACUGGGCGUAAAGGCGUGCGCAGGCGGUUGUGCAAGACAGAUGUGAAAUCCCCGGGCUUAACCUGGGAAUUGCAUUUGUGACUGUACGGCUAGAGUGUGUCAGAGGGGGGUAGAAUUCCACGUGUAGCAGUGAAAUGCGUAGAGAUGUGGAGGAAUACCGAUGGCGAAGGCAGCCCCCUGGGAUAACACUGACGCUCAUGCACGAAAGCGUGGGGAGCAAACAGG